GUUCCGAAGGGGGUGGUUGACGGGGUGGGAGACAUGAGGCUAGGGGAGCCGCAUCCAUCCUCCCCCCAGGGGGGAGAGGAGAAUGGUAGAGUCUGAAUUUAAAUGAAACGGUCCCUGGAGCUGCGUUCUCUCCCCCGCCUGUCUCUGCGCCGGCAAGAAGUGGGGCGUGUGGGCAGGGCCGUGUGCCCGCCCGGCCCCGCCCCGGCCGGAGGGAGACUCGCCACGGCAGAGAUUUGGGGCAGGCGGGGUGAAGGCUGCUCUCAGCCAGCUGCUGCCGGUGCGUGGAGCGCGGAGAGGCGGAUAAGUAAAACUGGGAAACUAGAAACUAUACUAUCGGGAACUUUAUCUUCUGUAUUCACAGUUGAUAAAAGAGACAGUGGGAUUCUGAUUUCUUAAAUCUUAUUGUGCUGACAAAGCAACAGGGAAAGAAUGCCAAGUUCCAAAAGUAACUUCUUGUUGUCAAGUGACAUUUCAAAUUUCCGGGAAAUGGCAAUAUCAAAUGAGAGAGAGCCUACUGAAAAGAGUACAGCAAGUCUGAUUGAGAACAAUGGCUAUCAAGACUCUGUAUACAUAAAUGCAGCUAAAAUUUUUCAAGGCAUUCGUAAUGAAAAGCCUCAGGAUAAAAUAUUGGUAAGGUAUGGUAAUGAACUAGUGCCAUCCCUACCAGAUUUUAAAGAUGAAUGUUCCCAGCGCUCAUCCUAUGAACUGGCGUUUAGUGCUCUGAAAUAUCAAGAUCUACUUGAAAAUAUAUUGUUAGAUAGCUGCUUUUACCCAUGUCAGUCAAUACCAGAUGAAUUGACCAGUUUAAUUGUUGUGAUGUUGUAUGACCUCCAAGAUCGAAAGUUUCAAGCCCGACAGAUUUCUGAGGAAGAGGAAUCAAUACCAGAAGUCCGAGAUGUAGAACGUUAUCUAUACAGUUUUAAGACCAAACUGGCUGCUGCUUUAGCAAGAUGUCGAAUCAAACAUGAUGCUCUUUCAAUUGAAUAUAUUCUACCAGAAACUCUACGGAAACAGGAACAAAGGGCUUCUGCUUUACCUUUGUAUGCUUGGAUAAAUACAUUAAAAAGCAGCCUUGAAGACAUUUACAAAGAAUUGAAAAAAGAGGGAUUCACAAAAGUUGAAUCUGUGUCAGAUUUUGAAGAUUAUACUUACUGUCUGGACAAACACUGUCAUGAUGUACUGGUUUUUCCUGCCUCUCUCAAAGAAGAAAUACUUAAUUUGGAACUUUUCACAAGUUACAAACUCAUUUUACAGGAUAAAUCUCGGAGCCUCGCUGUACAUUCUGUGAAGGCCUUACUGAACAUGGAUGAUGACAUCAUAGUAGCUCAUAUGGGUUCACGGCUGACUGCUGCCCACAUGUCAGUGUUGUCAAAUCAGAGCACAUCCAAAGUUUUUGUAUGUGGCGUAAAAUCGCAGGCAAAGGAAGUUGAACUGAAGGAGCUGUUCACACGCAUGGAAUGUGGAAACAUUGAGCUACUACAUGAGGAUUUUACUGAUAUUGAACCAACGGAUCAAAGACUGCAAAGGCUAAAGUUAUUCUGCUGCUACCUCGGUGCUCGAGGAUUGGGUGUUAGUAAUCCAAUAGAAUUUAUUCUAAAUGAACAUGAAAACGCAGGAUUGCUGAGAGACCUUUCUCAAGGAUCUGUAGCUGAAAAUAAACUCCAUAUUCUCGCUGAGAGGCAGCUUCAGGAGUUAAUGCACGCAAUGCGAUUUAAUAAAGUGCAAGCCAUUGUCUACUGCACUUGUUCAGUUUAUCCAGAAGAAAAUGACGCAGUAUUGAACAAAGCACUGGAAUCUGGAGUGGAAGGAAGUAAAGCACAGCCUUAUAGAGUGCAGAAUUCAUCAAGAAAUUCUGCUGCAGAACUGCCAACUCCUAUGAUCAGAUGGGGGAGAACUUGCAGCUGGAGGGGAACAGGCUAUAAUUUAACAGUCCAAUAUCUGUGCUGUUGAUAAAUCUACUCUGAUCUUGUCUAUGCUGAGGAGCAAAAUACUCUCUCCUUUUGGAAAAUUUGCACAGAGAACAAAAGUGAAAGGAACAGUUGCAAAGAUUUCUGGUUAGGGAAGAUCAUUGAUCUAGAGAUGGUGACUUUAUUCAGUAUUUGAUUUUCUCUUAAACAAAAGAUUCAAGGGUUCAGGAAACCACUAGUUCAGAAACUGCCAUAGGUUUGAUUCUCUGGUCUGUUAUAUCUGUCAGUGUCACUCCAGCAAGUAGACUUCAACUUGGCAGAUAUGGGUGCCUAAGGAGUCCCUCAGUGAGGCUUUCCUUCAGAUUGCUCUGUUUUGUGGUGGGACUCUGGGCCAGCAUGUGCUCAUCUUAGGACUGAAUUGUUGGAAAGGUGUUAUACUUGUCCCCUCUGUGCUCUUGACCCGCUCUGAGCAGCAUGCAGCAUCUGAACCCAUGUUUCCUUUUAGGGUGUGCAUUGUGACCAUUUGUUUUCAGAUGAAGACUCUUAAGUAGUUGGUGUAUUUCCAUUUUUGGCUCUUCAGAGACUACCAUGCCAAGUUUAGGUUAGCUUCUGCAUAUGUAGCAAAAUUAUUCAGUUUCUCUCAGCUAAUAUGUUAUAGGGAGUCCUAGUGGUAUUACUCUUGUUAGAUAUACCAUGCCCACCUUAAGCAUUAUUCAAAGGUACAUGUAUUGGAGAGUUGAUUCCGUAUACUCCUUGGUAUCAAAUCCAGUGCUCUGUACUGAAGUGCUUUUCCUUAGAUGAUCACCAGUUGGAGAAGCCCAUGGCACAGGUAAGGAGGAGGUGGUACAAAGGUGGGUUUUGGUCCAGUAGACCAGUCUCAUAUCAUGGUGUAAGUUGGAGCAGUCUAAUGGCUGCUCUAAUUUACACUGGCUGCCAAUGGUCGUGGAAUCUGCAAGGAGAAAGUUGACAUAGGAGUCAAUAUACCACUGUCUCUAUAUUCAAUGCAGCUAUUUCAAAGCAGUCUAAUGAACCUGAGGAUCAGGGUCUAGAUUUUAAAUUUUUUAGUUUUUAAAUGUUCUAGCUACACAUGCAAGGAACUUUUUAUAAUAUAUAAUUUGAUAUUGUCCCAUUAACAAAGAAAAAUAUAUUUAAUACAUUUGAAUUAAUGUGUCUGUAUUUAAUACAGAUCAACAUCUUCACUGUCUUGAUAUACUCAAAGCACAGUGAUUUGUUUAAUAAUUGGACCUAAUUUCAGUGAGUUUAUGAAAAUGUGAUAGCAAACAUUCAAAAGUUUAUUUCAGUACAGGUUUGUUGUUGGUAAAGACAAUAUAAAUUAUUUAAAAUUCUAUCAGUAAAUUUUUGUUUUAAUCAUAAUUGUAUUUUUAAAUGAGUAACAGGGUGUCUAAAAUGUAAUGCAUGUCAGUAAGAAACGUUUGUCUGUGUGCUGUACUCAGCUGAUUUUUAGUUUCCUUAUUUAUUUACAUUUUAAAAUUACAAGUCUUGUUUGUAAUAUUUACAGACUUAGUCCUUCUCUGUGGUGCAACUCAGAAAUAGAGGGCCCUUCUGAUAUUUUUUUCAAAAUGGAACCUUCAGAGAUUUCCAAUUGCUGUUUUUUAGCUGUUCUAGCAAGACAGAGGGAUCCAGCUGAAGUAAUGUCUGUACAAGACAU